rnacentral:rRNA from 1 species
GACGAACGCUGGCGGCGUGCCUAAUACAUGCAAGUAGAACGCACAGUUUAUACCGUAGCUUGCUACACCAUAAACUGUGAGUUGCGAAGGGGUGAGUAACGCGUAGGUAACCUGCCUGGUAGCGGGGGAUAACUAUUGGAAACGAUAGCUAAUACCGCAUAAUAUUGAUUAUUGCAUGAUAAUUGAUUGAAAGUUGCUAUUGCAUCACUACCAGAUGGACCUGCGUUGUAUUAGCUAGUAGGUGAGGUAACGGCUCACCUAGGCGACGAUACAUAGCCGACCGGCGAGGGUGCGCGGCCACACUGGGACUGAGACACGGCCCAGACUCCUAGGGGAGGCAGCAGUAGGGAAUCUUCGGCAAUGGACGAAAGUCUGACCGAGCAACGCCGCGUGAGUGAAGAAGGUUUUCGGAUCGUAAAGCUCUGUUGUAAGAGAAGAACGGGUGUGAGAGUGGAAAGUUCACACUGUGACGGUAUCUUACCAGAAAGGGACGGCUAACUACGUG